UAAAUAGUGGCCAUCUCAGCAUCCCCGAAUCGCAUACCUGUUAUCUCCUUUCGGUCACCCGACUUCCCCCGGUGUUGCCGAGAUCACCCGCGGAUUACCUUCCUGAAGCCUCCAUCGUGGCUGGUGACCUAACAAUUCACAACCUUAAGGAAAGUGAUGCCAGUGAAUACACUGUAGACCUCCUCAACAGUGAGGGUGAAGGCAAAGUAAAUAGGAUUAAACUCUCAGCAAAACAAAAGCUCCAGCAGCCAUCCAUCCAGAUAGUCACGAGCACAUCUGUAGAAAGUGGCUGUUUAAUGGUGGUGACCUGCUCUUCUCUGGAUGAGGGUGUUAACCUCUCCUGGAGUGUUGAACCAGUCAGUGUGCUCACCAUCAACAAGAGUAAUCCCAGUGACAGCUCUGCACAGCUUUUUGCAUUUGUCAGCACCAAAGAGAACUUUGCCAGUUUUACCUGCAUCUCCAGCAGAGAUACAGAGAGUGUUUCAUCCAAACCCGUCACACCAAAGUGUGAUAGUAAGAUCUGUGAACCCUGUUGUAACAGUCUCACUCAGUCUCAGAGCACCAAAGCUCUGCUUCACAACAAACAGCCAAUCAGGAUCAAACUCAGGUUUACUCCUCUCUUCUUCAUGGUGAUCUUUCAGUCUAUGAACCAAUCAGAGGCUCUGGAAACACUGGAAGCGAUGAAUACAACAACGCCACAUCUGGAUUUCAGCUUGAAGGUCUUGAUAAGAGGAGCAGACAUGAUGGCACAGAGGAGAGCUCUGACUACAAUAAUGUGAAUCCUGAAUCAGCCUCAGGUACA